AUCGCUUCUCGGCCUUUUGGCUAAGAUCAAGUGUAGUAUCUGUUCUUAUCAGUUUAAUAUCUGAUACGUCCCCUACCCGGGACCAUAUAUUAAAUUGAUUUUUGGAGCAGGGAGAUGGAUUAGGGGCUUGCUCCGUCCACUCCACGCAUCGACUGGGUAUUGCAGUACUUCCUGGACGGUGCAUCCACC
rnacentral:snRNA from 1 species